AAUAUGGGCAAAAUUUCCACCAAAACAAGCUAACGCGAUUUCAAAGUCACACGCAGCGAGGCGUCAUAUGUUGUCUGGCUCCCCGUGAAACAGCCAGACCUCACGUCCUCUGACUGCGAUCUCCAGAAUACUAACGAGCCCGAGAAGAAGAAGGGGGGGUUACGUCAACCUUAACAUCUCUACACUGAGCUACAGUGCGUUAAUGCAAACUUCAACACCUUGCAGCGCAAUCAGCAAAUCAACACGGCGCUGACGUCAACGCAGCCAGUCAGACGAGCAGCAGGCAGGCGGGCAGCCGGCGCUGCGAUCCAGUCCAUACAAACACUGAGAAAGUGAGACACCUAGGGGGCUGUCUCAUGUCAAACGCCUGUGUUACAGUAUGGCAGUGAAAGCCUUCAGCUGCACCCUCAGAGGACAAACUACAGCGCUUAAGAGAAUCCCCCGGAUCAAUACGUCUCUUGUCUUGAAUGGCAAAAGAAUGGCAGCCCCACACACAGGACUUGUUUGG